rnacentral:rRNA from 1 species
UACGCAGGGGGCUAGCGUUGUCCGGAUUUAUUGGGCGUAAAGAGCGUGUAGGCGGCCAGGUAGGUCUGGUGUGAAAACUCGAGGCUUAACCUCGAGAUGUCAUCGGAAACCAUCUGGCUAGAGUCCGGAAGAGGAGAGUGGAAUUCCUGGUGUAGCGGUGAAAUGCGUAGAUAUCGGGAGGAACACCAGUGGCGAAGGCGACUUCCUGGCCUGUUCUUGACGCUGAGGCGCGAAAGCUAGGGGAGCAAACGGG